AUGGCUGCGGCGGGCGGGCGGUGGCGCGCGUGCGCGCUGGGUCCCGGAGCUGCGGGCGGGAGGCGGGGACGGUGGGGGAGGGGAGCGGGCUGGAGCGCGGCGGAGCUCCUGCCGCCGCCGCAGCCGCUGCCGCCGCAGCGAAGAGGCCAUGUUGUGUGGUGUGUGGGGCGGGGGGAGGAGGAGGAGGGAGUAAAGCCUAGAGAGGAGACGGGAGAGAGACACCACACACACGGCACAAGAUGGCCGGAGAGGCAGCAGCACCUCGAGCUGUCAGGCGUUCCGCUGCGGCCGCGGGGCCCACCAGCCGGCGGGGAGCUACGCCCGGACGGCCCGCAGGCCCGUGGGAGUGGGGCGGCCGCGGCUGAGGCGAGGCGGGCUGCGCGCGUCGGCGUCAGAGCCCGCGGCAGAGGCUCCCAGGGCGGCCGGGCCCACGACGCCGAAAGCGCCGCUGCGGUUGCCGCCUCGGAGGCUUCCCCGGGCCCCGGCGGCUGGACCCGGCGCGGGCGGGAGGCUCGGGCGGGCGGUCCGGCCCGGGACUCGGACUUGGGCGACCAGGAGGUGCCGGCUGCCGCGCUCGGACCCGGUUCUCCAACGGAGGAGCUUUUUAACCUCUUUCCGGUGAGGUGGGAACUCAUCUUCAUGAUCGAAAUUUAAAAGAACAAUGGAACCCUGACUACGUUUCAACAAAAAUAAAACUUGUUUUUUUCCCUCCUAUUGGGUGUUGGCUUUUAACUCUUUCAAAGCCGAUUUUGAAACGGCUGCAGUGAUACAUGCGAAGGUACUUGCUGCUUAUUAAACCUUUAUGACGUUAAGGUUGUCUUUGAAAAAUGCAAGUUGGAGGAGUGCUGCUGGUAUUUCAGAAUUACGAAGACAAGUUUACUGUGUCGUCAAAGCUGUUUAAUGGAAAUAGAUUUGAUAAUUACGGUGCUAGCUGAUGACGUUUGGUUAAUGUAGUUUAUUUUACCGAGUAAUUACGCCAAGAUCAUUUGAUCUCCUGAUAUUUAAAUAUGAUUAAAUACACUGUUUGGUACUUUUUGAAAAGGUCACAAGGCGCCGUUAUCUGUUAAGUUCUCACACCUGAAUGUUAGAACGUACUUGGGUCAAUUCCUAGUCAAAAGUUCGUAAUUUAAUUUUUUUGAGAAUGUAUAUUAUCACAAGCCAUGAUCGAAAAACUUUCACAAAAGAACAUUCUGACACCAAAUCUCUUCCUGAAGUUACUUUCUCGUAAUGUAAAUAUGAAUAAAGUAGGACUGCUUUCGGUAAUGGGCGAUGAAGAGGAGCCAUAUUUGUUGCAUUUGUUGCAUGUAUAAAAAUCUAGAUAUGCUUA
rnacentral:lncRNA from 1 species